rnacentral:tRNA from 1 species
GUCCCCAUCGUCUAGCCGGCCAAGGACACCGGCCUUUCACGCCGGCAACAGGGGUUCGAAUCCCCUUGGGGACGCCA